UCCCUGGUGGCUCAGAGGGUAAAGCAUCUGCCUGUGAUGCAGGAGACCCAGGUUCGAUCCCUGGGUCGGGAA
rnacentral:tRNA from 1 species